UUUUUAUCACGGCGGAAAUGGAUGUUAAAACCGUUGCUGGGAAACACAUUACAUUACCAACGUCCCGGUGGACAUACAACACCACUGUCACUUGAAGAAGAGAUGGGCCGAAUUCGCCUGUAAAGAGGCGACAUGAUACAGCUGUGUCCACAGUCUCUCCACAUCAGCACAUUGAGGAGUACAGAACACACACGGAGACGAGGAUUGAAGACGCUCAGCGGUAAUUAAGCCACUAAGUGAAUCUGAAACGGGCGAGUCAUGGGGCGAGUGCCACAGCAGCAUUAUGAGACGAGAACAACAGACACAGGAUGACAAGAGCUUGUUGGAACAAUGCAGGGAAU